GGAGGGGGGGGGGGGUGCCGGGGCCGAUGUCCCCUCCCGGGCACACGGUCCCGUUGGGAGGGGUCGGGCAUCCCCGGGACCGGCCCCGGCGGCUCGGGCAGGGUUUGCCGGGUCAGGGACUGCUCAGCGUUUCGAGGGAGGGAGCCGUGGCAUGUCCCCGCGGAGGGUUGUGCAAACCCCGUGCUGACUAUCCCACACGUUAUUUAUUUUAUUUUUUUUUUUUUUCCUUAUUUUGCUCUAUUAAUAGCCACGGAGAAGUGAGAAAUGCCUAUGACAAAAGCUGUAGCCGCAGAUUCCUGUUUCCAGGCCAGGAGUGGGUUAGUUCGGAGUAACCCACGCCUGACGUAACCCUCCCACCCUCCCGGGCGAGAGCCCCCGGACACCGGGAGUUUCCCAGUCGGGGUUAUAAGAGCCGGACCCGAGUACAGGAAAGGACAGAAGUCCUGGAGCCUGCUUGCAGCCCCACGCACACCGAGGCGAUGGUGCCAGCCCCGCGUGUCGUCCGUCGGUCCUUCUCCUCUUCAGUGUGUCUACCCCCACAAGCCAGAGCUGACUUCACCUUCAUUUCUUACCAUGAUGAAAGCAGGUACAAACUGUGGGCUUGCUGCCCACUUCAUCUGCUUCCAUGGGUAGAGCCCACAGUCCAGCUGGGAGAUCCAAGAUCGAGACCUCGCUGACACUUCACCUCUCUCCCUGUUGCACCAUCUCCCCCCUCCCACCCGAGGAAGCCCCAGCGCGGAGGUGGGGGCCCGGCCGCUAGCCCUGCUCGGGAAGGAAUCAGGAAGGGGAUGGCCGGGAGAUCAGCGGGAGUCAGCAGCAACAUUUUCUGCUUCCCAGUUGGGGUGGGACACUUCCACCGGCAAGGAAGAGGAGCUCUGCUCUUCCACUUCUCGGAGUAGUGUUUCAUGGUUGGGAGGUACCAAAUAACUCCCGUAAAAUGCUGUCCCACGAAUGCACUGCCUCACACUGCUGAUGGGACAGGAGCUUUGGUAUUUCUGCAAAAUCCUUACUGUCUGUCUUAUCCAAAACAACAAAAUAAACAAUGCCAAGUCUA